AUUGAACGCUGGCGGCAUGCUUUACACAUGCAAGUCGAACGGUAACAGGCCGCAAGGUUCUGACGAGUGGCGAACGGGUGAGUAAUGCAUCGGAACGUGCCCAGUCGUGGGGGAUAACUACUCGAAAGAGUAGCUAAUACCGCAUACGAUCUAUGGAUGAAAGCGGGGGACCGUAAGGCCUCGCGCGAUUGGAGCGGCCGCUGUCAGAUUAGGUAGUUGGUGGGGUAAAGGCUCACCAAGCCAACGAUCUGUAGCUGGUCUGAGAGGACGACCAGCCACACUGGGACUGAGACACGGCCCAGACUCCUACGGGAGGCAGCAGUGGGGAAUUUUGGGCAAUGGGCGCAAGCCUGAUCCAGCAAUGCCGCGUGCAGGAAGAAGGCCUUCGGGUUGUAAACUGCUUUUGUACGGAACGAAACGGCUCUGGUUAAUACCCGGGGCUAAUGACGGUACCGUAAGAAUAAGCACCGGCUAACUACGUG
rnacentral:rRNA from 1 species